rnacentral:lncRNA from 1 species
GCAGUCGUAUCGACGACUCCAUGUAGGGGUUGCGAUUUGGCGGUUGUUGCAUGUUUGCGCGGAUUCGAAUGGUUUCGACACGACAAUGGAAGGAAACACCGGAUAGUUCAUUUGUUGGCGACUUAGUUUCACGUUGUUCUUUCUUCUUCCUCCUUUCUGUUGCUUCAAGUUCACAUUGUUACAUUCGUUUGUUAUGCUUCCUUCAUUGAAUCUGAAUACCAUGGAAUUGAG